UAUUGCAUUACAAAUAAUAUAUAACUUAUUAUCAUGUUUGCUCAAUUAUAUAUGAACUUGGUUUAAAAAAAAAUCUUUGUAAUUUGGGGUUUAGAAGUGUAUAAAACUUAUGAUGUUUGGGGUUUGGGGUUUCGGCUUUAGGGUAUAAACACAAAACGAAGCUAAUUAGUCGUAAAGUACGACUCAGUUACGACUAAUCUAAAAUGAGAAUAAACAUAUUCGAAGCUAAUUAGUCGUUAAUUUACAUCUAACGUAUGACUAAACUGGUAGAAUAGUCCCUUAUUGGUCCCGAAUGGAAUAAAGUAGUCGAAGCUAAUUGGUCGUCUUUUUGGUCCCUACUUAGUCGUAACAUACGACUCAGUUACGACUAAACUGCUUGAAUGGUCCCUAAUUGGUCGUAAUAUCUUUCGAAAUUUCCUAUAAAUACUCACCAGUUUGCUUCUCAAAUCAGAGAAUUUUUUUUAGAAAUAUUUGAAAAAAAA
rnacentral:lncRNA from 1 species